rnacentral:rRNA from 1 species
AUACGGAGGGUGCAAGCGUUGUUCGGAAUCACUGGGCGUAAAGGGCGCGCAGGCGGUUUGGUAAGUCAGAUGUGAAAGCCCAUGGCUCAACCAUGGAAGUGCAUUUGAAACUGUCAGACUUGAGUACUAGAGGGGAAAGUGGAAUUCCCGGUGUAGAGGUGAAAUUCGUAGAUAUCGGGGGGAAUACCGGUGGCGAAGGCGACUUUCUGGCUAGAUACUGACGCUGAGGCGCGAAAGCGUGGGGAGCAAACAGGAUUAGAAACCCCGGUAGUCC